GCCAGGUGUGGUGGUUUGCGUCUGUAAUCCUAGCUACUCAGGAGGCUGAGGUGGGAGGAUUGCUUGAGCCCAGGAGUUUGAGGCUGCAGUGAACAAUGAUCACACCACUGCACUCCAGCCUGGGUGACAGAGCAAGAUCCUAUCUCUA
ensembl:misc_RNA Metazoa_SRP Metazoan signal recognition particle RNA